rnacentral:lncRNA from 1 species
UUUUUGGAGUGUCUUUGACCGAUUUCUCCAAAAGAGACAGUUGCCCCAGUCUCUAAAUCCUAAUUGGCUUUGUAGAAGUUAGCCGAAAAGGGCCAGGCCAAGGGUACUAAAAAAGAGGCAACUGAGCAGGCCGCUAUUCCGGCCAACACUCUCGAGGCCGUUGCCAUACUGGCUUUGGCCGCGUUUGUUUCAAGGUCGAUUAUCACUUGUUCACCUAUCAUUUUGGAUGAAAAGGUAUAACUCAUUUCUUUUUUUGCCAAACUUUAAGACCUGGUUUGGGAGUGAGGUGCUUAAAAAAAAGCACCCAUGAAAAAAAGCUGUAAGAGUUUUAGGUGUUUGGUAAACUGAAAAAAAAUGGCUUAUUUUGGAAGUUGCUGUGAGAAUAAGCUGAAAUCAAAGGAAAAAGCUGAAGCUGCUAUUUGCAGCUUUGGAAAACUGGCUUUUUUUCAAAGCACACGGAGCUACAGUGCUCCUUUAAUGAAAAGACCCACUAUCAGACUACUUUUUUUCCAAAAGCACUUUUACAAAAAAGUUUACCAAACACUCUGCUGCUUUAUUUCACAGCCGCUUAUUCUCACAGCACAGCCGCUUAUUCUCACAGCAGUUUUUUUUCAAAGCACAGCAAUACCAAACCAGCCCUAAAUCUCUUUUAAAACAACUAACUCUUCAUUUGUAUCGAAUGAAAGUAAGGUUGAAUCGGCUGGAUUACUGCUGAGAUGGAAAUCACCAGCGAAUAAGCCUUACAAAGAAAAUGUUCCUUGCCCCAAGAUUAGGGUAAGGACAAGAUUGACACAGUUCAUCCCCUAGCCUUAUUUACCCCUCCUGCUGCCUCAUUUGAACCAACCUCGACCAAGACGACGCGACCACAUCCUCAAAAGGUUAAGACCUGUAUAUUUGGGCAAAAGGUUUCCUCAGCUUGUUAAAGUUCGAAAACCUACCUUGAUAGUUUUAUUUUUUAAGUAUUAUAGGCUAAAAUAACAAAACAAAUCUCAAGGGCGAAGAUGGUCAUACCAUU